UAUAUAUUUUUGUUUGACAUUUACGAAGUGAUGAAAAAGAUUAGACAUUUGGUAUAUGAUUGUGCAAAGAUAUAGUUGUGCAAAGACCUAGAAAGUGAAUGAUAGCAAUUGUAGAUUGCGGUGGUGAUGUAUCUCCGAUAUCUAGCAAGUUUUUUAUGACACAAAUAGAUACUCUUGAAAUACAAUAUGCGUUGUUUAUAUAUUUUUGUUUGACAUUCACGAAGCGAUGAAAUCGGAUUAUUUUG
rnacentral:lncRNA from 1 species